UACGGAGGGAGCUAGCGUUGUUCGGAAUUACUGGGCGUAAAGCGCACGUAGGCGGCGAUUCAAGUCAGAGGUGAAAGCCCGGGGCUCAACCCCGGAACUGCCUUUGAAACUAGAUUGCUAGAAUCCUGGAGAGGCGAGUGGAAUUCCGAGUGUAGAGGUGAAAUUCGUAGAUAUUACGGAAGAACACCAGUGGCGGAAGGCGACUCGCUGGACAGGUAUUGACGCUGAGGUGCGAAAGCGUGGGGAGCAAACAGG
rnacentral:rRNA from 1 species